rnacentral:rRNA from 1 species
CAUCAGUAGCCGCGGGAAUACAGAGGGUGCGAGCGUUAAUCGGAUUUACUGGGCGUAAAGCGUGCGUAGGCGGCUUCUUAAGUCGGAUGUGAAAUCCCUGAGCUUAACUUAGGAAUUGCAUUCGAUACUGGGAAGCUAGAGUAUGGGAGAGGAUGGUAGAAUUCCAGGUGUAGCAGUAAAAUGCGUAGAGAUCUGGAGGAAUACCGAUGGCGAAGGCAGCCAUCUGGCCUAAUACUGACGCUGAGGUACGAAAGCAUGGGGAGCAAACAGGAUUAGAUACCCCGGUAGUCCCUGUCUCUUAUAC